GCGUCCAGUAAAACUACACAUGCAAAUAUCCGUAAGCCCAGUGAGUUCAGCCCCUUUGUAUUUACUAGAUCGCAAGGAGUAAGUAUAAAGCACGCGUACCAAAAUACGCAGCUAAAAACACUAAGUUUAGCCACACCCCCACGGGAUACAGCAGUGAUAAAAUUUAAGCAAUAAACGAAAGUUUGACUUAGUUAUACUGACAUCAUAGGGUUGGUAAAUUUCGUGCCAGCCACCGCGGUCAUACGAAAAACCCAAGUUAAUAUUCUAUCGGCGUAAAGAGUGCUAAAAACAUUUUAUACAAUAGAGCUAAGACUUGACUUCGCCGUAAAAAGCCCAAGUCAAAGUAAAAGUCAGUCACGAAAGUAACUCUAAUUUUUACAGCACUAAAGCUAUAACCUAAACUGGGAUUAGAUACCCCACUAUAUUUAGCCGUAAACAUAAAUAGUUCAUAACACUACUAUUCGCCAGAGAACUACAAGCCACUGCUUAAAACUCAAAGGACUUGGCGGUGCUUUAUAUCCGUCUAGAGGAGCCUGUUCCAUAACCGAUGAUCCCCGAUCUACCUCACCACUUCCUGCUAAUCCAGUCUAUAUACCGCCAUCUUCAGCUAACCCUAAAAAGGAAUCAAAGUAAGCAAAAUGAGUAAUCACUAAAGAAGUUAGGUCAAGGUGUAACCUGGAAGUGGAGCGAAAUGGGCUACAUUUUAUAUCACUAGAGCAUUACGCAACCCUAAGUGAAAUCCAUAGGAUAACGGAGGAGUUAGUAGAAACUUAAAACUAGAGGUUAAGAAACAGACCAACAAGCACGAGCG
rnacentral:ncRNA from 1 species